rnacentral:lncRNA from 1 species
GGGCGGUCGGUUGUCAGCGCCGAGGAGAGGGAGUAAACUGAGGCCUGUAAUCUAGAAACAUUUUGAGAAAAGGGUGAUAAACUGUAGCCCCGCCCUCAAGAAGGCAUUUAGUGGAGGAAAACAGCCACAGACAACUGCAUUUCAGAACAACUGUUAGGUGACCGAUUGAGAAAAGUGACACAAACAUUGGGAAGAACCUGCUCUUCUAAACGAAGAGGGGUGGAAAAUGUCACACGUUACAACCUCUUAUUCCUAUGAUGCACCAAUGGACUUUAUCAAUUUUACAUCUUUGGAUGAUGAGGAAGAUACCCAAAACAUAGAUUCCUGGUUUGAGGAGAAGGCCAAUCUGGAGAAUAAAUUUCCUGGAAAGAUUGGUACAGGAGGGCUUUUUCAGGACAAAACUCCUCUGAGAAAGGCUAAUCUUCAGCAAGAUUUCACACCUUUGAGACCAGUUGACAACACAUAUAACAAAGAGGCAGAAAAAGAAAAUCUGGUGGACGAGUCCAUUUCAUCAAAUACUUAUUCUUCCAUAAAAAUUAAAGAAACCACAUCAAGAAAUAUUCCAGCUCAGCCUCAGAGAAGAUCUCUUAGACUCUCUGCUCAGAAGAAUUUGGUACAGAAAGAAAAACAUCAUGUAAAAAUGAAAGCCAAGAGAUGUGCUACUCCUGUAAUUAUCAAUGAAAUUCCACCCUCCAAAAAAAUGAAAGUUUCUAACAAUAAAAUGAAGCCAGAGGAAGAGGAAGAAGGCAGUGCUCAUCAAGAUAUUUCUGAAAAGAAUGAGUGUUCCCCAGAGAAAGCCAAGGGCAGACGCACUGGGCCUUGUAUCCCACCUAUAAGGCAGAAGGUUCUAAAAAGUACUGAGGAGCAAGAAUUGGAGAAGAGAAUGAAAAUGCAGCAAGAAGUGAUAGAGAUGCGGAAAAAGAAUGAAGAAUUCAAGAAAUUUGCUCUUGCAGGAGCAGGGCUCCCUGUGAAGAAAUCAGUGACCCAGGUAACCAAAUCAGUUGACUUCCACUUCCGCACAGAUGAGCGAAUCAAACAACAUCCUAAGAACCAGGAGGAGUAUAAGGAAGUGAACUUUACAUCGGAACUGCGAAAGCAUCCUCCCUCUCCUGCUCGAGUGUCAAAGGGAUGCACCAUUGUUAUGCCUUUCAACCUGUCCAAAGGAAAGAAAAGAACAUUUGAUGAGACAGCUUCUACGUAUGUUCCCCUUGCACAGCAGGUCGAAGCCUUUCAUAAGCGAACCCCUAACAGAUACCACUUGAGGAGCAAGAAGGAUGAUAGUACUCUGCUACCCUCCAAAUCUGUGGCCAAGAUAUGCAGAGACCCACAGACUCCUGUGCUACAAACCAAACAUCGUGCAAGGCCUGUGACCUGCAAAAGUACAGCGGAUCAGGAGGCCGAGGAGCUUGAGAAACUGCAGCAAUACAAAUUCAAAGCACAGGAACUUGAUCCCAGAAUUCUUGAAGGUGGGCCCAUCUUGCCCAAGAAACCACCUGUGAAGCCACCCACUCAGCCUAUUGGCUUUGAUUUGGAAAUUGAGAAAAGGAUCCAGGAGCGAGAGUCAAAGAAGAAAUCUGAGGAUGAACACUUUGAAUUUCAUUCCAGGCCUUGCCCUACUAAGAUCUUGGAAGAUGUUGUGGGUGUUCCUGAAAAGAAAGUACUUCCAGUCACUGUCCCCAAGUCACCAGCCUUUACUCUGAAGAACAGAAUCCGAAUGCCCUUCAAAGAAGAUGAGGAAGAGGAGGAGCCAGUAGUGAUAAGAGCUCAACCUGUGCCAUAUUUUGGAAUGCCUUUUAAGCCCCAAAUUCCAGUGGGGAGAACUGUGGAAAUAUGCCCCUUCUCUUUUGAUUCUCGAGACAAAAAACGUCAGUUACAGAAGGAGAAGAAAAUAAAAGAACUGCAGAAAGGGGAGGUGCCUAAGUUCAAGGCACUACCUUUGCCUCAUUUUGACACCGUUAACCUGCCAGAGAAGAAGGUGAAGAAUACAACCCAGGUUGAGCCUUUCUGCUUGGAGACUGACAGAAGAGGUGCUCUGAAGGCACAAACUUGGAAGCACCAGCUGGAGGAAGAACUAAAACAGCAGAAAGAAGCAGCUUGCUUCAAGGCUCGUCCAAACACCGUCAUCUCCCAGGAGCCCUUCGUUCCUAAGAUAGAGAAAAAAUCCCUUACUGAGGGCCUUUCUGGUUCUCUAGUCCAGGAAACUUUUCAGCUGGCCACUGAGAAGAGAGCCAGGGAGCGGCAGGAGCUGGAGAAGAGAAUGGCUGAGGUGGAAGCCCAGAAAGCUCAGCAGCUGGAGGAGGCCAGGCAACAGGAAGAGGAGCAGCAGAGGCAGGAACUGGCCAGGCUACGGAAAGAAUUGGUGCACAAGGCAAAUCCAAUACGCAAGUUUUCCACUCGAUUCCACUGCUGAACUUAGCUGCGAGCUGAUGCCACUUGGGAACCGGAGCUGCUCCUUCCAUCAAACCAGGAGGCUUCUUUGUCACGGGGGCGUGGAGAGAACCCAUUUCUCCAGGCUUUUCCCUACCCAUGACCCACAGAGUAUGCCGGACAAGUGUGGACUCCAGUUUCAUUGAAACUUGUUUUUCCUGUGUUAUUGUGGCUAAUAGUGAGACUCACCUUAUGUAUGUCUCAGCCGGACUCCGUGUAGUCAUUUCCUUUCAACCGUCAGUUGCCCUUUAAUAUGGGUCUUAACUCUGACUAGAAUUUAAAGCCCUUGCAUUAGUACAGUGUAAUUUCUAUUGCCCUUGCCCCUCCCCCCUUUCCUAUUUUAAUCAGAAAAUAAAGAUAGUUAAAUACUGAGAUAGGAUUUAUUAAGUCAUGGAUUAAAUGAAGAGCCAUCAGUAGUAUG